rnacentral:lncRNA from 1 species
GAUCUCGGUUCCUCGAUCGAUCUUGCGACCAGAGAGAGCUCGCUUCGGGACCCUCCUCUUCUCCGAUCACGCGUCAUCGUCGUUGCUCUGUUUCGAAUGGACAGCUCUGUGCAGAAUCAUGUUUGUGCUGCCUUUGGUCGGCAUUUAGAGUUUAGGGUUUGUGCCGUUCAUUUAGGGGAUCUUCUGCUUGAUUUGGCCAUGGAUUUGCCUGUCGCGACACCCCAAUAUCUCCCGUCUUUUGCGGUCAGUUCCUCGUUGCUUACAGCACUCUGUGUCUGGUUUCAAGUUUUCUGCGAGCAUCUGCGAUGAUUUUGAAAAUGUGUCGGCGAUGAUCGCACUGGAUCGACUACCUGAUCAUCCUGAAUGGUGAAUGCGGAUAGCGUAAUUUUAAUUUUGUAUAAUACGAGCCGACCUUCCGACUGGCAUUACCUUGGCGAUAUCUCGUCGAUCUCAUUUUCUUCGUUGCCGGAUUUGAAUCGAAGAGUCUACGGGCAUUAUGUUUGUGAUUUUGGAUCAUUCAACGACCAUCGCUUCCGAGAGUUUUCAAAUUCACGCAUGUGGCUAUGAUGAUUUCACACAGCUUCAAUUUGCCAGUUCUGCUUCAGAAAUUUCCUGAUCGACGAAGCUGCCAUAAGAAACUGAGCCUCUCGAAUCCUUUCAUUUUUCUGUCUCCUCGAUCCAUCCAUUUUUCUUCACUCAAAAGCAUUGAUAUAUUUAAAUUAAAAUCCGUUGUACUGAAAGCCUGCUGCUUCUCGAAUCGGGUGCCCAAACUGUCGCCGAUCGUAGGGUUCUAACCCUAGAAAUCUGAUAAUGCUUGGUAGAAUAAUCUGUAUCACCCCUGUUGAUUCGUCUGUACAGUGCAGGCGCUGUGGACCCAAGAUCCUGCAUCGGGGAGAACCCACUUGGGGAACCAAAGACGCAUAUGACAUCACCAAGCGUGAUUGAGGGGCUUCAAUUUUUUCGCCUCAAUGAUCAAAUUUUUAUUUUCUUACUUUUAUUAAAGUUCUUACGAUCCAUGGGCGUCUGUCACACGGGGCAUCUGUCACACGGGCCCGAUCCCGAACCGGACCCUAGGGACAACACAACUCUGUGCUACCCGACAUGUGGCGGGAGCACGUGGAGGAGCAAGACGCUAGCGUGGCGACCAAGACACCAUGUUAGGGUGAGGAGGAUAAUGGGGUUGCCCCGAGGAUGAGACAGCUGACGUGGAUGUUUAGUCUUACAUCAUUUAUAAAACAGAAUGACGAGAGGCGGGGCCCUAUUUAAUGGGACCCACACCUUCGUAAUUGGUCACCUUGGUUUUAGUGGAUCACCUCCCCUCUCUUCGGUAGAAAAAUUGGAUCGUGAUGAUCUGAAUCGGAAUCUAAUAAGGAUUUGAGUAGAGUCGCUUAGGAACCUUGUGAUAGUGGUAUUUGAGUUGGAAACCAAGGUCAGUACGCCCACCACUGGCUCAAAGUUUCUUUUGACCCGCCCACUCCGAUCUAGAUAGAGAUUGACGGGGGACGCUCAAGAGCUGGGGGCACGUAGGGAC